UACGAAGGGGGCGAGCGUUGUUCGGAAUUACUGGGCGUAAAGGGCGCGUAGGCGGCCCCUUUUGUCGCGUGUGAAAGCCCCCGGCUCAACUGGGGAGAGUCACGCGAUACUGAUCGACUCGAAGGCAGGAGAGGGUAGUGGAAUUCCCGGUGUAGUGGUGAAAUGCGUAGAUAUCGGGAGGAACACCAGUGGCGAAGGCGACUACCUGGCCUGUUCUUGACGCUGAGGCGCGAAAGCUAGGGGAGCAAACGGG
rnacentral:rRNA from 1 species